ensembl:ncRNA asRNA:CR46266 antisense RNA:CR46266
GUACAACUUAGUUCUAGAAAAUAAUAUGGAUUCAAAACUAUAAGAGGAGCACAUAUUUAAAAAUUUUCUCAGCGUGUUUCUGGAAAACUCUUUAAAAAUCAAACUUAUAAGUGAAACUGUGCAGUUUGCCCAUAUCAACAGACUUAAAUGGUCCUUUAGGGGUGUAAAAACACAAUCAACAGAUGCACGCGACAACAGAUGGCGAAAGAUGCAAAAUCUGAGAAAGCGAAAGAAGAGGACACAGUGAACAAAGGACGGUGUUUACAGAGCGACUGGCUCCACACAACUGAAUCGCCUGGAUGCAUUGGGGAGCAGCUUGGAGCUACUUUGGAACGAUAUGGAAAAGAACCCAUGGCGAAACUCUCUUAAAUCCACUCUGAAAGUCCUUCCGAGAGAGUACAAAAAAGUGUCGGUGGAAAAGGGUGGUUGAUUUGGGGUAUGAUCCGGUGUUUGGGAAUCGAAUUCGCCGACACUGGGCAAUGUGCUGCAAUUUAAUAGGCCUUAGAUUAAAGGCUAAGAACCAAGAAAGGGAUUUCUUAAAAAUAAAUAAAUGAAACACAAAACAUUGUGAUCAAAUUAUACUAUACUAGUGUUGCAGUACAAAUAAAACUAAAGUAUCCAUUCAAAUUGUCGACUGCAGUUGACAGUUUAUCGUAACAGUGAUUAAAACUUUUCACCUUGCGGCUUGAUAGUUAUAUUAUGGACCUGUCAACGGUAAGAAAGUUAUGUGCUAAUAAUGUUAAAUCCAAAUAAAAAUCCAUAUAUUACGAUUUAAUUACCUGAACAUUGGGUGGAGUGCCAAUUGCCCAGAGAACGGCAUCAGCGACGUCAUCACUUCGCAGCAUGGGCAUAUGUUGUUUGAUAAUACCCUGUAUCUGCUCCGGCAAGAUGACCGUAUCAACUAUGCCGGGACUGACUGUCUGCAAAAGAAAUUUAAAAAGGACACCGAUACUCAAAGCACAAAGAAGCAAUUGAAAUAAGUCAUACUCGAAGGACUCCUAAAUAUACUAACCGAAACCCUCACGGCAGUUUUGUGCCUCUGGAACUCCUGGCGGUAGAUCUCGUUCAUGGCGCGAAGGGCAAACUUGGUGGCCGGAUAAAUGUUUAGCGAGGGAAGCUGGGGUCCCAGGUUGGGUACCUGGUAGCCCGCCACGCUGUUCACGAUGACCACGUGGCCCUCGGUUCCUCGCCUUUUCAUCGAACGGAAGGACUCGCGGACACAGUAAACGGUGCCCAUGAUGUUUGUUUCUAUGGUGGAUCGCAUAGCAGGACCAUCAUCCCGCUCGCUGAGUUCUCCGGUACCAAUGAUCCCAGCAUUGCUCACCAACACGUCCACUCCACCCAAUUGCCGGCAGGUCCAGUCGAAGGCCUUCAAAACCUGAUCCUCCUGCGUAAUGUCGCACUUGAUUGCGUGAAGCCGAGACUGCUGUUCGAGACUCAGACCACUGCGAAGCUUCUCAACUCGCUCAUGCCGCCUGGCCAGACCCACCACUAUCAUUCCUGCUCCGAUCAAGGCACGGGUGCAUGCUGCACCAAUUCCGGCACUCGCUCCGCUCACCACGGCCACUUUAUUGCACCAACGCUCCAU